UACGUAGGUGACAAGCGUUGUCCGGAUUUACUGGGCGUAAAGAGCGCGUAGGCGGUUGACUAAGUCGGGUGUGAAAGCCCCCGGCUCAACUGGGGAGGGUCAUUCGAUACUGAUCGACUCGAAGGCAGGAGAGGGUAGUGGAAUUCCCGGUGUAGUGGUGAAAUGCGUAGAUAUCGGGAGGAACACCAGUGGCGAAGGCGACUACCUGGCCUGUUCUUGACGCUGAGGCGCGAAAGCUAGGGGAGCAAACGGG
rnacentral:rRNA from 1 species